CGGGGCCCGGGCCCGGCGGGGGCUGCCGCCCGCGGCCCGCCCCGGCGCUGCCCCGCUCCGCUCUUCUGUUCGGGGUUUGACCCGCUCCCGCUUCCCCGCCGCCGCCUCCCGCUGCAGCCGGGCAGCCGCGGCGGAGCGGGACGAGCCCCGGGCAGCCGGGAACGACCGGGCUGGGCCCCGUUCUGCGGCGGGGAGUCCCGGGGGAGGCGGCCCCGGCGCUGGCAGCUGCCUGGGACACGCUUCGCUCACCGCAAACACUUUGUGUCCCGCUCUUCCCCCGCCCCGCGUUAUUUCCUUCGCGCUGUUGUGUUUAAACGCUGCUUGAUGCGGUCCCAUGGCGGGGGAGGGGGAGGAAGUUCAGCCCCAGAGAGGGGUGACAGCAGCUGAAAGGGCUCCUGGAGCCCCCCUGGAAUCGCAUCGGUAGCGCCGGGUCCCUCUCUCCAGCAGCUGACUUGGGGAUUUCUUCUGAAGCCACCUCUCUGGAGGGGACGGUGGCUGCAGCUCAGGAGGGAGCCACGGGGCUGUGGGGCGGCUGCCUCUGGCCUGGCUUCCUUUUGGGACGGGAGGUUGCAACUUUGGCUCAGUGUCUCUGCUGCCACUUCUCCCUCACGGGUGGUGUGAGCACGUCUGGGGGCAGCAAACACACAACUGUGGUGAAAAGUUGGUUGCCCCACAGGUUCUCAUCUGAGUCAGGUGUUUUAAAGUGAUAUAAAGGGCUUUGGAUUCCCUAAAGGAAGCCCUGUGAGGGCCAUCAGUGGGAGGGGGCUCUUGGUCAGUGCUGUCUGCUCCUUGGGUUCAUGUGGUGGGCACAGCUCUUUGUUCCUCUUCCCACUGGGUGUGGUUGAACUUGUCCUGCCCUCACCUCUGUGUGUCCCUCUGAACUCCCUCCUUUGGGGUUUUAUCUGUACUUCCAAGUCUACUCCUCCCUUUUGAAUGCUUGUGGCAGGCAGGAAGGUGACAAAAGGAGUUGUGUUGGUGAUUUGUUGGGGGCCCUGUGGGCGGUGGUGGAAGCGGCCAGCGCCGGCACCUCGGUUCUCUGCCUGUGUGAGAAGGGAGAUGCCAAGGUCACAGAAGAGACAGGCGAGAUCUCCAAGAAGGAAAAGGAAAUGAAAACAGGAAAGUGCCACGUCCUUGUUGCUGUUCCGAGGGUGGUGUUUCUCACAGAGCCUGCGGCAGCUGAUCUUCAAGAUCCUGCAGGAGAUCUGCAGCCUACUGGCAGUACCUCCUAGGCUACCUGCUGCUCGGGGGCUUCGUGGCCUUGGGUGUGUGCUCCAGGAACGGCCCAGUGGAGAACCAGCGCAGCAUCUGUCGCCUCUGCUGGGGCCUGCAGCUCCUGCUCACGGCUCAGGCAUCCAGCUCCAUUCUGUGUCCUUGCCCAUGCUGCUCACUGUCGCCUGCACCGAGAACAUCGAGCACGUGGCCUCUUGGACUUCCACUGCCCACAGGGGAGAACUCUCAGCGCCCUGGCUGGCUCCUGGUGCCCCUCUGGCUUUACAGAUGGGGAGAGGGGGGUACAGGAGCUGAGGGGUGUGUGGAAGCCGGGCGUGCUGGGGAGGAAGGGCAGAUACUGCUUGUGGAUUUAAGUCUGUUUCUGGUUUUAAUAAAGAUGUAUUUUGUAGCUAA